rnacentral:rRNA from 1 species
CACGUAGGGCGCAAGCGUUGUCCGGAAUUAUUGGGCGUAAAGAGCUCGUAGGCGGUCGUCGCCAGCGUCCGCUGUGAAAACCUAGGGCUUAACCCUGGGCUUGCAGUAGAUACGGGCAGACUAGAGGUAGGUAGGGGAGAAUGGAAUUCCCGGUGUAGCGGUGAAAUGCGCAGAUAUCGGGAGGAACACCGGUGGCGAAGGCGGGUCUCUGGGCAGUAACUGACGCUGAGGAGCGAAAGCAUGGGGAGCAAACAGG